GUGAGGUCUUAGCCAUUAGCUGCCAUGCCUGCUGCUUGCUGCCAUGCUGUCCCACCACAAAGGACUCUUAGUCUCUGGAACCAAAAGGUCUCUCAGAACUUUUGCAGAUGGCAAACAUCAAAAGGACCAGAGAUUUUUUAUAGUGAUUCAGCUGCCCACGGCAAUGCAGUCAACCUUGAUUUUUCUUUCAGCCUGGGAAGUGAUCAGCGGAAAAGCUCAACAAACAGCUUUAACAUCUGAGGCCAAAAAAGAAGCAUAAAAAUUUACUUUCAUAAACACCUCUGGGGAAGGU